rnacentral:rRNA from 1 species
UACGGAGGGGGCUAGCGUUGUUCGGAAUUACUGGGCGUAAAGCGCACGUAGGCGGCUUGGUAAGUUAGAGGUGAAAGCCUGGAGCUCAACUCCAGAAUUGCCUUUAAGACUGCCGAGCUAGCAGGUGAGAGAGGUGAGUGGAAUUCCGAGUGUAGAGGUGAAAUUCGUAGAUAUUCGGAAGAACACCAGUGGCGAAGGCGGCUCACUGGCUCAUACUGGACGCUGAGGUGCGAAAGCGUGGGGAGCAGACAGG